rnacentral:rRNA from 1 species
CCUACGGGAGGCAGCAGUGAGGAAUAUUGGUCAAUGGCCGGAAGGCUGAACCAGCCAAGUCGCGUGAGGGAUGACUGCCCUAUGGGUUGUAAACCUCUUUUAUAAGGGAAGAAUAAAUGCUACGUGUAGCCUGAUGCCUGUACCUUAUGAAUAAGCAUCGGCUAACUCCGUGCCAGCAGCCGCGGUAAUACGGAGGAUGCGAGCGUUAUCCGGAUUUAUUGGGUUUAAGGGGUGCGUAGGCGGUGUUUUAAGUUAGGGGUUAAAUCUCGGGGCUAAACCUUGAUUUGCCAUUAAUACUGUAAGACUAGAGUGUAGACGAGGUAGGCGGAAUGAGUUGAGUAGCGGUGAAAUGCUUAGAGAUAACACAGAACUCCGAUAGCGAAGGCAGCUUACCAGACUGCGACUGACGCUGAGGCACGAGAGCGUGGGUAGCGAACAGGAUUAGAUACCCCGGUAGUC